rfam:Desulfovibrio mexicanus strain DSM 13116 genome assembly, contig: Ga0070557_103
GCCGAGGUAGCUCAGUUGGUAGAGCAGGGGACUGAAAAUCCCCGUGUGGGGAGUUCAAUUCUCUCCCUCGGCA